GGUGCUGAUGUACCAGUAGAAACGGUAGAUAUCCAAAGGCACGACCAUGGGAUCGUGUAAUAUUUACCUUUGCCCGGGUUAAAUCAUCCGUCCCUUACUUUGAAAAGCUAAAAGUAAAUGGAUAUGCGUCGGAACCAGACAACGGCAUAAAGGGGUUGACAAUGCACAAAAAGGCGUCAAUUCGUGAAUAGCUUUCUGCCUUGUAAAAGACUAGGCAUGCCAUGCUAGGUCAACACUUCUGCUUAAAAGCAGAGGUUAACUGUGUGCAUCUAAAAGAAAAACUUGUCACUGCGAAAGUGGUUGAAGGGAACCUGCCCUGGCCUGCAUUUUACAGCGAUUUCUUCAUUCAAGCAGGAAACUACACAGGACAUACAAUUCGACAAAAUAUCAGACUCUGCAGGGACGACGCCAGAUGACACACAUCAGGAAAAUGAAGAAAAAGGGAGGGGCUCCUUUGACGCAUCCUCGCGUUAGGUCAAUACGGCCUAUGCGGUGUUGAAUGAGCUCACGCACGUCGGACCAUCUGCAGAAAUGGCUUCAGAAUCCGGAGACUCGGAUUCAAGCCCCCAAAGAUACCAACUGGUCGAACAAGAAACCCGUUCCGCCACCAAUCUUGAACUGAAAAGGGACUGGUGUCAAAAAUCAACAUGGCCG